CGCCGACUGCCCUCACUAGCUGGUAGGUCGUGAGCGAUAACAGUCGUUUCUCUGCGCCGCUUCGGCCAAUUGGCUAACUAGGGGGUCUUUGUCAAAAUCUGGGGGGUCAAAUCGCCAGUGCGUUAGACUCUUUAGAAAUCGUCAGUUUCUCUUCAAAAUUAUCCGUCAUGAGAGCGGAUGGGAAGAAGGAUCGCCGUCGGGAAUCCGUUUCAGAUAUGGAUCUGAUGCUACAAAAUUGUCAUGCUACAGAGUGCACACAAAAUCAACCCAAGGGAUGGUCUCCACAAGACCAGAUGUUUCAGUGUCACUCCAAAUUUCGUAGUCAGUUGGGUGAAUUCGCUUCGAGGUACCAAAUGAAGAAUGGUGGGCGCCAUUUCGAUCAAACUCGUGAGUUCUCCAUCAAGGGCAGUGACAUCACCAUCUGCUCUUUCUUAGCAGACGUAGCAAGCCAGCAGCAACAGGAUCUCAAGAAUGACGCAUUCAGUAGCUGGUACAGCCGCAGCACCAGCGAUCCUUGGAGAAACGGACACAACAGGUUCCGUUGUCACGGAAACUAAACUCCCGAUCCGCAGAGAGAAAAUCAAGAUGCGACCUUGAGUAGCAGGUCAGUGGAAGAAGCUGACCAUGUCAUCUGAACCUGCUUGAACAGUUUCCCCAAAGGUCGCAAAUAAGCAUCACAGGUCCUGGUAUAACGGACGAACACAUCGGACCCGACUGGAAUAUCCAAGAUGUGACCUUGGAUAAGUGGCCCUUGCAAAACGGCCGAUUACACUUGGACCCGCAAAUAGUGUGCCCAGGUCUUCAUACAACUUUUGGCCUCCAACCCUCUGCCCGAUGACUGAGAACAACCUCUGACUGUGCCCAGUCUGGGUUGAGCUGAAAACUUCACCAGGCUUCUCAUUAUGUGCCAUGAUGCGACUUUGGCCGAGGAGUCUGGCCGGCUGGAAGCAAAGCCUGGAUCUAGGAACAGGAGAAGGGGUUCAAGGUCCUAUACAACAGCAGAAGGGGUCGAAUCAAGGUACACGCGGUGUCCCAGUCUAUUGGAUGAUCACUCUUGAAACCCUAUGGAAGAAGAGGACGGUUUCCAUCAAGAAAAGUCGUCACUGAAGUUGAUCCCAACUGGAAAAGUGAUUUCAGUGUGGAAAGUCUCCAGCAGAAACAACUGAGGUUAACCACAGCAAAGAGUUAAAAGCGCCAAGAAAGGAGUUUAUCUUAACUCACAGCACUGCAGAAAGUUCUCUUCAAAAUGUCAGUCUGCUGCUAACAGAACACACGUGGGAACAACACUGAGGCAAAAUCAGUCUGCAGAAGAAAUUGCAAAAGACGAAUCAGCUGCAAAAUUCUGACUUCUGCAUAAGGAAAGGAGCCUUUACUGGAAUUGUCAACCAGAUCAAAUUUGAAGUUAGGUUAGGUUUCAAGACUCGCAUUUUUGAAUUGUCCAAAAAUUGCAAGAGCCAAUCAAACAUAAAGUGAUCUCAUAUGUUUAAUUAUCAUGCUUUGUUAGAAGGGAAAGUGUGAAUAAAAACAGUACAACCA